GUUAGGAAUAUUGGACAAUGGGCGCAAGCCUGACGCAGCCAUGCCGCGUGAAUGAUGAAGGUCUUAGGAUUGUAAAAUUCUUUCACCGGGGACGAUAAUGACGGUACCCGGAGAAGAAGCCCCGGCUAACUUCGUGCCAGCAGCCGCGGUAAUACGAAGGGGGCGAGCGUUAUUCGGAAUCACUGGGCGUAAAGCGUGCGUAGGCGGUUUUGUAAGUUAGGAGUGAAAGCCCAGGGCUCAACCUUGGAAUUGCUCUUAAAACUGCAAGGCUCGAAUCUCGGAGAGGAUAGCGGAAUUUCCAGUGUAGCAGUGAAAUGCGUAGAUAUUGGAAGGAACACCAGUGGCGUAAGCGGCUAUCUGGACGAGUAUUGACGCUGAGGCACGAAAGCGUGGGGAUCAAACAGGAUUAGAUACCCGGGUAGUCC
rnacentral:rRNA from 1 species